AAUGGUACCUAUGAGAGGGAAAGAAGUGUGAGUAACCCCUCAAAUAAUAACACCAAUUCACUAAUUACUAUAUUUAUUCACAUAUUAGGUAAGUUCAUCGAUAAAAUACGCAAUUUGUAACACCCCUAACUCAUAUUAUUUGCUGGAAUACAAAGCAAUACUAGACCAAUAGAAUAGUAAACCAUUCAAAUCAUACAUAAAUGCAAACAUAAUUAAAUUUAAUUCAACUACAUUCAUAAUGUCCCUUAAUCGAGCCCUUGAGGCCCU
rnacentral:lncRNA from 1 species